GAUGAACGCUGGCGGCGUGCCUAAUACAUGCAAGUCGAGCGAAUGGAUUAAGAGCUUGCUCUUAUGAAGUUAGCGGCGGACGGGUGAGUAACACGUGGGUAACCUGCCCAUAAGACUGGGAUAACUCCGGGAAACCGGGGCUAAUACCGGAUAACAUUUUGAACCGCAUGGUCCGAAAUUGAAAGGCGGCUUCGGCUGUCACUUAUGGAUGGACCCGCGUCGCAUUAGCUAGUUGGUGAGGUAACGGCUCACCAAGGCAACGAUGCGUAGCCGACCUGAGAGGGUGAUCGGCCACACUGGGACGGAGACACGGCCCAGACUCCUACGGGAGGCAGCAGUAGGGAAUCUUCCGCAAUGGACGAAAGUCUGACGGAGCAACGCCGCGUGAGUGAUGAAGGCUUUCGGGUCGUAAAACUCUGUUGUUAGGGAAGGACAAGUGCUAGUUGAAUAAGCUGGCACCUUGACGGUACCUAACCAGAAAGCCACGGCUAACUACGUGCCAGCAGCCGCGGUAA
rnacentral:rRNA from 1 species